rnacentral:rRNA from 1 species
CCUGACCGACAUCCGCGUGAGGGAUGAAGGAUUUUGGUCUGUAAACCUCUUUUCUCAAGAAAGAAGUUCUGACGGUACUUGAGGAAUAAGCAUCGGCUAACUCCGUGCCAGCAGCCGCGGUAAUACGGGGGAUGCAAGCGUUAUCCGGAAUCAUUGGGCGUAAAGCGCCUGUAGGUUGUUUAAUAAGUCUGUUGUUAAAGACUAGGGCUUAACCCUAGAAAAGCAAUGGAAACUACUAGACUAGAGUAUGGCAGGGGUAGAGGGAAUUUCUAGUGUAGCGGUGAAAUGCGUAGAUAUUAGAAAGAACACCGGUGGCGAAAGCGCUCUACUGGACCAUUACUGACACUCAGAGGCGAAAGCUAGGGUAGCAAAAGGGAUUAAGAUACCCCUGUAGUCCUAGCCGUAAACGAUGGAUACUACAUGUUGUGCAUUAUGUACAGUAUGGUAGCUAACGCGUUAAGUAUCCCGCCUGGGGAGUCCGCUCGCAAGG